GACCUGUGUCCUGAUAAGAAGAGGAAAUCUGGACACACAAAGAGACACCAGGUAUGUGCACACAGAGGGACGACCAUGUGAAGAGGCAGCAAGAGGCACCCAUCAGCAAGCCAAGGAGAGAGGCCUCAGGAGACACCAGACCUGCCGGCACCUUGACCUUGGACUCCAGCCUCCAGAACCAUGAGAAACAAACUUCUGUUGUGUAAGCCCCCAGUCCGUUCUGUUAGGGCAGCCAGGAAACUAAUACAGGUUAGAUAAUGGGGUUUUGCUAGGCAGUUUGGCAUUCAAGUCUUCCAUCUCCGGAUCCACCGCCUGCCCCCUGGCACUGUUCCCUGGGCCGCGCUGAUGACGCUGACAGUGAUUUCUAGAGUUUAGUCUCUUGUGUCCCGCAGAAAUGGUGACUACUGGGGUCGCGUCCCCAAGUCACCUUCGGCCUUCGCUUCCUGCCUCUUGCCCCACAGCACGGUGAGGGGCUGGGCCAGGCUGCUGUGCUCCACGUGGCAGGAGUAGGGGCCUCUGUCCUGAGGGGGGACUCCCACCGCCACCCACGUCUGGACAGACAUUUCACACACCUGCCUCCUCUCCACAGCCAAGCCAGGAGGCAUCAACCUAGAGAGAAACCGCGGUAGGAUUUGCCUGAGAUGUUCCCCUGAGCUCCCAGCUCAGUGCGGGGGAGCAGGACCCAGGAAGCAGUGGGUACCUUGUCGGUCCAGGUGGCUCCUGCUGUAUGGCAGGUACCUCUGCAGCAUCCCUGGGCACUCCU